rnacentral:rRNA from 1 species
UACGGGAGGCAGCAGUAGGGAAUUUUCGGCAAUGGGCGAAAGCCUGACCGAGCAACGCCGCGUGAGUGAUGAAUGUCUUCGGAUUGUAAAGCUCUGUUGUAAGGGAAGAACUGCCAGGAUAGAAUCUUGGAAUGACGGUACCUUACCAGAAAGCCACGGCUAACUACGUGCCAGCAGCCGCGGUAAU